rnacentral:rRNA from 1 species
AAUCAACGCUGGCGGCGUGCCUCAGACAUGCAAGUCGAACGAGAAGGCUCCUUCGGGAGCCGGACAGUGGCGCACGGGUGAGUAACACGUGGGUAAUUUACCUUCGGGUGGGGAACAACAGCCGGAAACGGCUGCUAAUACCGCAUAAUGCAGCGGCACCUAAUGGUGACAGUUGUUAAAGCGGGGGAUCGCAAGACCUCGCGCCUGAAGAGAAGCCCGCGGCAGAUAGGUAGUUGGUGAGGUAAUGGCUCACCAAGCCUGCGAUCUGUAGCCGGCCUGAGAGGGCGGUCGGCCACACUGACACUGAACAACGGGUCAGACUCCUACGGGAGGCAGCAGUCGGGAAUUUUGGGCAAUGGGCGAAAGCCUGACCCAGCAACGCCGCGUGAAGGAUGAAGUUUUUCGGAAU